UUUAGCAUUGCCAUGCUUCUUUUGAUGCACCUCCUAUAUAGUGUUUUUCUUGCAAAUCAAUUAGUAAUUGUACCAUGAAAAUCAUUGACAGGGUCUCUACAAUAAAGUUGCAAAAAUUUUGAAGUUUCCAGCAGCUGAAUCUGAAGGUAAUAUUGUUAUGCCGCUUGGUUCCCUUUUGUCCAUGUAUUAUCUAUAUUUAUGAGAUAUGUACACAAUGAAUCAGGGUUAUCAAUUGUAUUCUAUAGCAGCAGUGCAUUAUGGCUGCUGGCCGUGGCCGCUUAUAGAUUUCAGAUAGCAGAAUGUUAUUUAUACUGUACUGUUGUAAUUCAUGGCCACAACCAUGUCCAUUUUUGCCGCUUUUGUGACUUUUCAACUCUAAUUUUGACAUUUUCGCCAUUCCCUGGCAUUUGGUGUCAGACAAUUUGAAACUGUUCUCAACUACACAUACUUCUUAGUGCCUUCGUUACUCACAUUGAUCAUACUCCUCUUUUGAAACUUGCUUGUCUUUUUCGUUAACCCUCUAUUCUUGCUCUACUACACACUCACUCAUUGUUCUGUCUUUCUAGACCAGAUUGUUAGUUAUGAAUAUCUUUAAUUUUGGGAAACCUUUAUUCUUGAGAGCAUUUAUUUGCAUAAAGCAUAAAGCAUAAACUAAUCAAUAGGUUUUCAUUUGGUUCUGGAUCUCUCUUGUUAGUUAGGCCUAUAGAUCUCUCUUGUUAGUUAGACCUAUAGUUUUUAUGAUUUCUCUGUCUCAAACUACUCGACCAUUUUUGUAGCAUCUCUAACUAUUAUGGGUCUUCUUCACACAUGUCCACACCACCUAAGAUGAGCUUUCCAUUUUUUCUACAAUGGGAGCUAUCUCAACUUUUUCUCUACCAUUUAUUUCAUUCAGGAUUGAA
rnacentral:lncRNA from 1 species